AAGGAAAUAGAUUGGUGGGCUUCUAGUCCAUCUCUGCCACAGCUCUGCAAUGAAUUUAAAUUGAACUUAUUGCAUGCAUUGCUUAAUGUCCUUUGUUGUUAAACUAUUUCCUAAAUGGUACAACCUGAAUAUCUUAGUGUGACAAAUUUACUCAUGAAAGGUCCCUCUAUCAUCAGGUUGGAGGAAGUCUUGACAAGGAAGUUGGCAAGACUGGAAUGCCACUCAGAACCCAGUUUCUUUCUGCCUUGAGAGUGAGAGCAAGGAGACGACACACACUAAAAAGAGCCAGAAGCUCUCAGAGAUGACCACAGGAUGGAGAAUGUCGGGGGUAGUACAGCGUGGUGCAAGAAGCUCCAGCUCUGGGGCCAGUUGGACAGGGUUUGAUUCCAACUCUGGCACCUGUCAGUGGAGCAGCCUCAGUGAUGCCUCUCAUCUUCACGUUCUUUGCUUGAUAGAACAACAUGGCUGUCCAAGCACCAGACUUCAUGGGAAAGGAGAGGAGAGCUCAGGGAGCUUCCUUUCUGACUAUUCCGUGAAGGAUUUUAUUCUCUGGAAAAAAUGACACUCCCUCAAACAAAGAAUCAUCUGGCUCAAAUGCCGUAAGUGCUAGGGUUGAGAAACCCUGCUCUAAAUGUCGAUGGUAGAAAUCAGAGGUCUUCAUCAUCAGAAGUGGUCCUACAGGAAACGGAAUCGUAGAGAGGAUGACAUUGAAAAAGCCCUUCACUAACUCAGAGGAAAACUAGAAAACAGCUACGAAGAAGAUAUUACACAGAGAAGAGAAGAGAUGAGAUCCAACUUAUGAAAAACAGAUUCUUCUCUAAACAUCCUCAGGGUGCUGCUCAUCAAUGGAAUACUCAGAUGACCACUGCUGAGCACCUGGAGGUUACAUGCCCUGCCACAAUGACUCAGUAAAACCACCCCUUCCAUCUUGGUCAAAGUGCACUGCAAAGGCAACGUGUGACCUAGACAAGAUGAAGAAACUGAAAAUUAGAGAUGGUGAAUGACUUCCCCAAAGUCAUAUAGCUAUUAAGUGACAGGUAUCAGAAUUAUUCAAAUGUAUAGUCAAUGGAUCCCAGUGGAAGCAUAUUUCUC
rnacentral:lncRNA from 1 species